rnacentral:lncRNA from 1 species
AGGGGCGGACCCAGCUAAAAAAUUAAGUGGGUGCAAAGUGACAGUUUUAGGAAUCGAACUCACCAUCUCCCAUAUAUUAUGAGUGUAAACAUAACCAUUUUGCUACAUUAACUAUUAUGUACAAAGUAAAAUUUUUAACAUUUUAUAAGUUACUGGUGGCAGCUGCCACCACCACCUAUAACGUGGGUCCGCCCCUGCAC